GUGAAACGGUGCGGAUGAAGCCACUACCAGGGGACCGGACUGGCCUCUGAAGACUCAGAUCCUGUGUACAGAAAGUGGCACCACGCUCCUACUUGGUCAAGGUGAAUGGAUCACUGUACCGUCGUAACAGGGUUGACCUUCAGAUUGCUGAGCCAGCACCUACUCAGAACCCUGAUGGUCAAAGGGGUUGCAUGACAAAAGACAGAACCCCAGCAAGUCACAUGGAGCCUGAGGCACUGGGCGAAGAGCCAGGGGAUCACAGAGCAUACAACCAUGCUGACAACCAUCCGUGGAGAUCAGUGGACAAAGGGCUGGACAACAAGCCACACUGAAAAAACGCAUGGUUCCACAGAAUACCAACUGGGAUGGAUCCCGAGGCAAAUGUGGCUUCUUCA
rnacentral:lncRNA from 1 species